rnacentral:snRNA from 1 species
AAACCUUAACCUCUUGGCUAACAUCAAGUGUAGUAUCUGUUCUUAUCAGUUUAAUAUCUGGUAUGUCCUUUAUUUGAGCACUAUAUAUUAAAUGGCAAUGCUGUGCCAUUUUUA